AGUAGCUCAGUUGGUAGUAGCAUCUGACUGUUAAUCAGAGGGUCGCAGGUUCGAGUCCUGCCU
rnacentral:tRNA from 2 species